GGAUGAAGUCUUUCGGGAUGUAAACUUCGUAAGAAUAGGAAGAAUAAAUGACGGUACUAUUUGUAAGGUCCGGCUAACUACGUGCCAGCAGCCGCGGUAAUACGUAGGGACCAAGCGUUGUUCGGAUUUACUGGGCGUAAAGGGCGCGUAGGCGGCAAUUCAAGUCAGUUGUGAAAUCUCCGAGCUUAACUCGGAACGGUCAACUGAUACUGUUUUGCUAGAGUACAGAAGGGGCAAUCGGAAUUCUUGGUGUAGCGGUGAAAUGCGUAGAUAUCAAGAGGAACACCUGAGGUGAAGACGGGUUGCUGGGCUGAUACUGACGCUGAGGCGCGAAAGCUAGGGUAGCAAACGGG
rnacentral:rRNA from 1 species